UCAGCGGGGUGUGGAGGCGGGCAGGGAGGAGGAGUAAAGGCUGUUUACAAACUUGACGCACGCACCCAGCCCUAUCCUAUCCGUAAGGUUCUGGAAUUUGAGGGUCACAGUUUUGGGAUCUGGAGUGCUCGGAUGCCCAGCCUGGCUAUAACCUUUUAAAGAACGUCUUCAGGCUUCCUUCGCUCCCCACCCAACACCUCCAUGGAGAGGUGGAGCUGGAUGCGACAUCCCGACGGGAACUACGGACCCGUGGGCAGAAGCGUGCAGAAGAGGCAGCCGAGUGUCUCGGGGGACAGCAUGAACGGAGUCCCCCACUACCACAAAUUUGGCAUUUGAGUUUCCCACAUUUGGAGAAAUCACAGGGGUCAGCGCAUCCAGGGUGCAACUGAUAAGCCUCACCCUGGGAAAACUGCCUUUGUGAUCAUGGUAUUUCCCCUGCCCGAGUCAUAAAGAGGCACACACAAUGGAAUGAUACCUACAGCCUGCAUACUCACAUACCGGACUAUCAGGAACACUUUGCAUCAUCAGUAAUUGUUUGUUUACCAAUUCAUUUAGAAUAGUUGUAUUUUAUUCAACAUUUGAUUUAAAUGAAUUGUCAUGAAACAUCGUUUUUUAAAUAGUUGAACUGUUUUCAGAAAAAAAUAUUGCCAUGUGUCACUUAAGAGAAUGGGCUUGAGUGUGGGUUUGAGUGCGUUUUUCUGCCACUUUCUGGCUGUAUAACCUUGAGCUAGGGACUUAAUUAUGUUAUCUCAUCAGUAAAAUGAAAUGAUAAUGGUAUCUACUUCACAGAUCUCUUGCUAGAAGCUAAUGAGAUGCUUCCAUGAAGUACCUGGCAUGGCACCUACCACACAGGAAAUCCUCCAUACACUUUAGCUACAAUUAUUAGGAUCAAAAACACAAAUAUAGAAAGAUGUCACAUUUAAAAAACACCUGCAAUCCUACUAUCCAGAGAUAAUUGAUGCUAACUGUGUCAUAUUACACAUGUGCUCCUGUAACCAGUAUAUCACAGGUAUCUUUUCCUGCCAAGUAGAAUUGCUUUAUCAUCUAUAUCAUCUUUUUUAAUGACUGCAGAGUAUUCCACUGAUGCAAAUAUGCUAGGAUAUAUUCUCGAUGGAGAGGAAAAUAAAAUUAAGCCUAGCGGAACACAAGUCUUGGGUUUAUGCCUGGCCAGAUCCGCACUGUGCACAUUUUGUAACGCGCCAGCUAGGAAUAAUCCCACCACAAACUUGACUGCACAAAGGCAGGAAGGAUUUGAGAACUGUGUCCCAAUUUCCAAAUCAGAGCUGACCUGGAUGGUUCCAGGAACGUCACCUUUCACCAGUAUCAUCUGCUAUUGGCACUCAGAAGAAUGAAAAUGGGAAACAGAUUCCCCUGGUUGCUUCUGCUGCCUUGGCAAGCAGGGGACUCCAAGAGGGUCACGGGGCUUUGGCUGGGCAGGGAGGCCCGCAAGCUCCACAGAGAUGUGUAGCCUGCUGGGGGCAGGUGGGGGGCGGCCUGUUCACACUGGAUCCCAGACCAAACCUUCUCCUUUAUCCCUGCCGCCUUAAAAAGAAAUCUGAUUGUGUCACACAAGAAGUUUCUUUUCCUCGCUCUUUGUCCCUCUCUCUCCUUUCCUUCUAGCUUCCCUUCCACUUCUUUCCUUUCUUGCUUUCCGUCCUUCCUUUCUUUUAUCUUCCCUUCCCCCUUUCUCUCUUUCCUUCUCUUCUUUCUGCCUUCCAACUUCCACCACAAAGUACUUGGGGAGGAAAGUUUCACAAAGAUAUAAAUCCCUUAUUUUCAGAGCCAGAAGGAUUUUAUUUUUUUUGGCCAAAGAUUUAUUUGCAGCUUAAAGAACUAGUGAAAUAGGUGGGCCAAAGGCCUCUUUCUUAUUCAGGCAAAACGUGCACAGAAAGCACUCAAACAGCCAGGCUUCACGAUGACCUUGGCAAAUAUCCUUUCAGAAAAAUGAGGACUGGAGUUUGGUUCCUGCCUAUGCCCAUGCCUCGCUGGCACUCUGCCCCAGCCCUGCGAGGGGGAGAGCCCACUCUUACCAUGGAAGGAAAGGAAACAGAGCUGAAGAGAAGGGUGUGUGAACCCCCAGCUGUGUGUCAUCUGCCAAUCUGACAUCUAGCAGUUCUACAUUCUCUUCAGUCACUAAUCAAGAUAUUGCAUAAGUUAAGGGCCUUCAAUCAAAGCUGUCAUUUCAGUCCUAUUAAUUUUAUCAAGAAAGCACAAGCUCACAACUCUAUUUACUGUGUCUUCAAAAAUAUGACAGCCUCUCCAAUCCUCCAUUUCUCCAUCUCUAAAAAUGGGAGUAACAAUGGCACCCAUAUGACAAGGUUUUGUAUAAAAAGGCUUAGGACAGUACCUUGCUCAGGCAAUUUGUGGCCUUUGGUAAUUAUUAUGAAUAAUUCACUUAGCUGUGAAUCUGACACAUCGAAUUAUCAUUUGGUCCACACUUUCCAUGAAGAAAAGCACCCAUCUGUUUAUCAACCGCUCUUGCUGGAAUUGAAAUGUGUGAUGUCUGGAAUAUUUUAUUGAUCUACCAAAAAUAAAGUACUGAAAAGGGAAUAAAGUUAGGCCAACAUGAUUUGAAUGUCUGCAGGCAUCCAACCAUCUCUGGCUGAGCUCUCUUCCUAAAUGUCUGUAAAGGGUGUGUUUAAUAAUCAGGUUCAGAAUGCUAGAUGAUUGCCUUCUAGUUUUUAGAAUCCACAUUUUUCUCAUUUUUGAAAACUGGAAUAAUAUAUUCCCUGUCUCCAAUCCCCUGGCCUUGCUCCCAUUCUCUGAUUUCUCUAAGAUUGCUGACAGUGGUUUUGUAAUCACAUCUGCAAGUCCCUUCUAUUAUAUUCUAGAAUUUAAUCCAACUUGAACUCAUUAAGUAUCUAGCUCCCCUUUUAUUAUUUCUUGUGCUUUCUCAGGCUUCAAUUUUCUCUUUAAAAGCACAUCUCUUUUAAAUAUAAAUAUAUAAACAUGCUUCUUGUCCCCAUGCGAUAAGCCUAUCCAAGUAAAAUGUAUGUCCUUGGCUGAAAGUUUCAGGCGUAUGGUUAAGCAAAAGAUGAGACCAGAAAUCAUCAGUAAUCCCAGCAUGAAGAGAUAAUAAUGGUGCUUCCUGAUUUAACACCUUCUAGUAUUUUUCUGUGUAGAAUUAGAUAUGCAUGCUGGUGGGUAAAUAAACCAUGAAGAUUCCUCCACAUAAUUCUUUUCCUGUAACCUUCUUUUUAAUGUUAACAUAGGCCUUCAGCGUAGCAAUGGGAGAUAAAUUUUACUGAGCUCAGCCCCUUUGAGCAUUUUGGCUUUUUGGCUAUUUGCAAUGUUAUCAAUGUUACAGUCACUGCUUUGGUGAGAGGAUUACAUACUCAGUACAUAGUUGCUGAUGUCCUUAACUGAAGAGGCUCCAUAGGCAUGAGAAUUAGACUGCAGAGUUAGAGGUAUCGUGUCCUGGUGUCUCUUGUUCCCAUGCUCUAAGGCUGACCUUGGACAAAUCACCCCACUCCUCAGGGACUCCGUUUUACUUUUGAGAAUUCUCUCCUGUUAAAGGGGGGUGACAGACAGUGACUCCCAGAGUGGACUUUGGUGAAGGUGAAAUGUGACCUUGAAUAUAAUGCUGCUGGCACCGUGCUUGGCCCUUCCAAACACGGAAGCUAUUGUUGUUAAUAUUAUUUUUGUUAAAAGCUCCUGUUUGGUUCAAGGUCUAUGUACUUCAAAAGUAAAGAUGCUGUUAGAGGCCGGUGAUUCCUUAGCUUAGGGAUUUGCCUUUUGAGCUCAGAGCAAAGUGAGUGGAAUCUGAUAGUGUGCUGUAAAGGACACCACCCUGAGGUCUCCGGCAGGGACACUCAUUUCAUAUAUGCAGUCAGUUGUGCUGUGGUGGACUAUAUAUGUUCCUAAAAAUUACCGUGCUAUGCAGAGUAGUGCAAUAAAUACCACAGGGCUCAUGGGAAAUGGAGUUAUGGCAGUGGCUCUCAAUCACUCACAACAUCUCAAAAUCUCAUGUAAUUGUGCCCCUCUCCCCAGGGGAUAUUUGCAAAGCGUACAGAUAUUUUUAGUUGUUACACUAAUGGAUAGUGGGGAGGUAUCUAAAGAGGAGGCAGUGGGCAGAGGCCAGGGUUGUUGCUAAAUAUCGUACAAUGCACACGGUGUUCCCCACAGCACGGAAUUAUCCUGCCUCAAGUGCCAAUCGGGCCACAGUUGAGAAACCGUCAGCUAGGGAUACAACAUUCAAACACUUGUCAGUGACACAUUAAAGAAAAAGAACAGGAAUUGAAUGGGAGUAGUAAUGAGAGAUGAAUUUUACUGAGCUCAGUAACAUUUAACAAUGUUAAAUGGUUAAGAAACACACAAAUACCACACACACAAAAAGACUUGUUAUUGUACCUUAAAAAAGACCUGGUUUUUGCUUCUGGAAAUGGGCAUUCAAAGGGUAGCAGCUUGUGAGCAAGACUGAAUUGGUAGAAGGAGGGCUACCUGAAAUGGAGGGACAGUUGUAGCACCAGAUGUAGGUGGUAUGGCUCGUCAUGUGUGUGGUAAACCGAGGUAGUUAGUGGAUGUUUGAGGUGUGUACGUAUGUGCGUCCAUGCGUGUGUUCAUCUGUGUAUUUCCACGUAGCCAAGUUCAGCUAGAUGUAGUUUCCUGCUCUCAUCUAAUGUCUGUGGGGUGGAAAUUGUGUUUAAGCAAGCAGGAAAUCUGGUUGUCCCCAAAUGGCUCCCUAAUAUAUCAACUGCAUUGGAAUAAAUCCAUAUUUUCAAAACAUACCUUAUAACCAAAUGGGCUGUACAGAUUUAAUUGCAUUGAAUUGAUUUGACACAAACAAGAAUUCACAAAGCAAUGACCUUCAAAAGUGCAGCUGACUUACUACAAAACUCUAACCUACAGAAAGUACCAAACAGAAAGUUUCUGAGAAACAGCUAGGGCCCUGCUUAAAUAAAGAUGUUUCUCAUGUUGUUGUAUAGAACAAGACUUUCCCAUGACAUGCCAGUGGCCCAUACGGUUUAUAACAAAGUCUAUUUUAAAUCCUGUAUAAUGCUGAAAUAUUUAAGGGUUGAACUAUAUGAAAGGUGGUAUUUCCUUCAAAAUAACCCAGUGAGUGGUGGGGCUAAAAGGAAACAUGAGUGCAUGAAUGAAAUCAGAACAUGGCAUUAUAGCAGUGGUUCUCAAUCACUCACAAAAUCUCAAAAUCUCAUGUAAUUUUGAACAUGGCAUUUGGCAAUGAUCUUCCUACUUUUGUAUAAUACAAAAGGAAAAGAAGAAUGGUUAACUUUUAAAAUGAUGUAUAACCGGCGCACUUGCAAGCAGGUUCAUAUAAACAUUGUUAAAUGGCGAUGCUGCUGUUUUUGAACAUGGAAUGCGUGUGCAGUUAUCGUAAUGAAGUACCAUGUUAAUUCAAGAUGGGAUGUACCAAAGGUAUAAGAAGGAUGUUUACUUUCCAGUUUCCAGAGGCCCUGCUCCUGUAAGUAGACUAUGAGGAUAAGUAAAACCAGGUGUCAAAAGGAGAAAAUUAACAGUGAGAUGGUCAGUGACCAGGGGCCCCCACUCUGAGUGGUGUUUCACAAGCUGAGGCUAGAGAAGCCUUAACACUGGAAGUGAGUCCUCAAGCCAGGGACGUGGAUUCAUUGCAUGUGAAAUCUGAGGGGCAGCACACUGGGGUGAUUAAGAAUAUGGGCAGACCUUAGCAUCUGACCUUGAUGGGGAGGCCUGGUUCCCCUGAGUGACCUUGGGCAAAUUAAUUUAAUCACACUGAGAAAUUUUGUUUCCCUUCACGUUUGUGAAAACUGGAUUCUCUCUGUAAUGAAAGGAAUAAAGAGCAAAGCUAAAAGAAACAUGAGGGUCGCCUGUGACAAUAAAGCCACAUCUGAAUAGACUUACAGAAGCUCCUAAGCAAUUCAUGAUAGGCUCUAAAGCAUCUAAUGAAAGCUAGAGUAGUCUCCCCUGAAAAAUACAUAUAUGAAUUCAUACAAACAUUUGCAUGUUUGCAUUUAUAUGGAUUGUCACAGAACCCUUAACAUCCAUCCAGGGCACUAGGUCAAGAACCUGGAUUAGAGGCUGCACCAAUCUUGAAGCCAAGGGAUGGAAACAGGUUAAACAUGUUCCUGUCACUGCCACUGCCCUCCUCCUAUCCCCCGACCUAUUUCUCCUGCCUGAGCUGUUCCCUCUACUCUCUGGAUUCUACCCCAUUCUUCAAAGUCCCUCACUUUCAGAAAGCCUUUCUCAGCCAGUGCUAUCUACAGACAUUUCUCCUCUGAUCUCCCAGUAAGCAACUUAUCAGCACUGCUAUUUUGGUCCUUAAUCAUACAUUUUCUUUGGAGGCUUGUCUCCAGACAUGUGUGUGUGUGUUGCCUGUAUGACUAGAUUGCAAGUGACUUGAGAGCAACACAAUUUAUCACACUUCCUGGUGUAUUCUACAAGAACCAUCCAUGUAGAAAACUACUAAACAAACUGAUACCAUGUGUGGUUUGAAGGUAGGUACUCACAAAAUACUCAUUCAAUGAAUGAAGGAAAGAAUCUUUUACUCUUUUCUUUACUCUUUUCCCUAAUAGUUUAGGCUUAGCACUCUUCUCACACUCUGUCUGGAGCCCCCUUCCUCUAGGGCUCCCUGGUAAAUUUGCAUUUAUGUUUUGAAAUCUCAGCUCAGAAUCUUCAGGGACAUCGUCUGUCCCCAGUGUCUACCUCUUUUACCUCCCUCCUCCCCCUGAGAUUCACAGAAUAGCCUCCAGAAGACCUCUGCCAUGUACCACCAGGCAGCACACUCCCCAUGGGUGGUCUGCUCCCUGCCUGGUAGGGACAUAUGAGGUGUACUGGGAACAUGGCACAUGGAGGAACAUGCUUACCUAUGUAUGCAUUUAUUUUAACAUGCAUCUGUAACUGUGGAACUAAUGCAUCAGACCUAGUUCUCAGAGUCUAUUCAUUAGGAUGAGGUUAAGUAAAAAAAAAAAAGAGACAGAAAGUAGGUUUAAAGACAAAUCACGAGUGAGUGAUAGCCCUCUUGCUAUGAUAUUAAAGCAAAAUUUGUAAAGGUGGAGUAUAUUCAUUUAGUCAGUGUCUUUGAACUCCACGCUGGCCUUUGACAAAGGCAGGUUGCUGUGACACAUGUGUCUUCCUGUCCACCUCUUUGCACAGGAGGCAGCUCCCAAAGGGCAGGGACCAGGCCUAACCCAGCUCUGUACCUCCCAGAGCUGGGGCUCAGGGGUGUUGCUGACUGAAGCAAAUCACAAGGGACUGGGCAAGGAAAUUCUGCCUAGCAUCAGCUUUGUCUCCCUCAAAAUAGUAUUUUAUCUGCUCCCUGGAACAGAGGGAAAGCAGGAAGAUGGGAAGGAAGAUCACACCUCCUUUUCCGUAUCACACAUCCCCAAAUGGCCAAAUAGACCAUUAUAGGACCUUAUCCUAAUCUAAUCCCACCAGGUGCCUUUGUUUGCUUAUGUCUUCUUCCCGCAUUUUUUAGACAGCAUGAAAGCCUGCUUAGGCAUGAGCAAAGGGUUUUCUUUGCCUUUAACACAACUAACCCUGGACUCUCAGAGUCUCUUCAUUAUGAAGUCCAGUUUUACACACAGGCUUUGGCUCACUUCAAGGAACAAUGAUUAUUGCCUAGGUAAUCAUGGGUUCCUGAAAGAGAGGAAAAGCAAAACACGAAAACUGCACAGAGGGGAAACUUAGUCAACCAGCACCUGCCAGAAAGACUAAAGGGUGGGAAUGGAGCGGGGCGGUUCCGCUGGACUCUUCCGCAGGGAGGCUACCGAAACUUUCAAAUUCUGAAGGUCUUUGUGUAAGAGGUGAGGGAGUGUGGGGGACCCAGUAAGUAGGGUUGGCUGCCGAACAAAGGAAGGAAAAGGGAAAGGCAAGGACUGCUUCCACUUUUCAAGGUGACACAGUUGAACGAAUCCAAGAUCGGACUGGCUCGAAUCACUGGUGAGUCAUUUUGAGAAAAUCACAAAGGGCCCCUUUCCCCUCCAGUUUCCGCUUUAGGGAUUUCCCAGGCUAAGAGGGCAGCCCAGUUUGAGUCACUGGGUUUAAGAAACUAAGAAAUGAUAACAUGGAACAGAUCAACUAUACGCCGAAGGCCUGUUAACCCUGUGUUUACAAGAAUUCUUUUAACAGUAGUUUAUCUACAAUCAAAUAUAGAUUUUUCUAAGUCUGUUUACUAUGGGCCUUCCACUGUUUAUUUUAUGCUGUAUCUUCCCACUUUGAAUGGUCAGAGGUCUACCUAGAAAAAAAAAAAAGACAUGUCGAAGUCAUAACCAAUUGCUACAUAGUACCAGGUAUAAAAAGGAGCAGCCCACUUUAUGGGGAGUGGUUAGGUAAUUUUAACAGAUAGACUUCAUGGAACAUCAAUUUAAUUUCACUUCUAUUUGAAAGUAAGUUAUCAUUUUUUGAGUGCCUAGUGUAUUCUAGGCACCUAACAUACAUGAUUUCCUUUAUUUCUCCCAAGAAUCCAAUGAGAAAGGCAAAUAUUUCCUUAUUGAGCUUUUAAGGAAACUAAAUCCUGGAAAAGCUAAGGUGGCUGGUCCACACCACAGCUAAUAAGUGUCAGAACCAAGACAAUGAGCCUCAGGUUUUAUCUCUGCCAAAUCAUGUCAUUCUACUUUCCUACAGUCUUUCUAGGAACUCUAUAUAGAGGCAGGACUUAAGUAAAGCAAAGAGGAAUGGGACUUAGUAUAACAGUCAAGUAAAAUAUGAUUUAUCACAAAUAUCCGUAACAUGUGGCGUAUCUCUUGCUAUGAAAAAUUGAACAACGUCACUUCUUCAUUCAUAUGCGCCAGUCAGCCCCCAUGAGUUCCCUUGGGCAAGUACCCUAGGGUCCCCCUAUGUUCAUUCCCCAGACAGAUGUACUCAAACCACACUGACGUCAUAGUAUUUUGUUUCUCGUUGGGAAGGGGGGAAGUGGCCGUUUAUGGGGUAUGCAUUUUUUUUUUAACUAUUUACCUCUUGCUAUUUGUGAGCACCAAGAGCAUAGCAAUCACUCAUUCCCAUGAGGAUCUGAGGUUCUGAAAAGAAAGUUUCGUCAUGAUUGCAGAUUCACUUCUGCCAUUUCUAAUUGUAAUAAUAUCUUUGCUCACUAUGAAAUAAUUGAACAACCAGAGUCAGUAGAGAUGGAAAAAGAGUAAAAGAGCUGAAAUCUCUAAAAGAGAAGAGCAGAGAGAGUAAGUGGAAGGCCAGCCUUCUUUGGCCAGAGUGCCUGACUCUGCCAUACCCAGACCUGGUCGCCGUAAUGGGCCCUCUGAAGUAUUCAUGCCAUUGUGUGGCUUUUAUUUUCUGAGUACUGGUUUCAAUGCUUAAUGAUAAUGCAUGGGGUGCCAUCUUCCCAGAAACAACCUCUUUAUUUGUGGACUGUCUGAAAUUUGUUGCUCAAUUUAGCAACAACAAUAAACAUAAGUACAAGGGCUUAAUGUUUCUUAUUACUGAAGAAGAGAAUAAUGUGCAGUUGCAGGAGCCAGGCCCUGGUGAUGUCUCCUCACCAGUUCUGAUCACGUUAGUCUUGAGAGUCCUCUUGGAGUGUUCGGCCUUGGAAUGUUUAACUUUUGACUCUAUAAUGUGCUGUCACGCAUAAACUUCUAGCCCUGUUUAUCCCCAGGCCAAGUAUCAGGGUAACGACUGACCUUUAGUGAUGUUGUCCAGACCCUCUUAAGCCCCUUCUCCCACUCUGCAGCAUUUUUGCAGGCUGCUGGAAAGCACUGGAGCUGGUCAGGCUUACAAAGAACAAGGAAUCUGCCUCCUCCUUAAAGAUCCUGUUGCAUCAGUAUACUCUCCCUGGGACGUUUUGCAUUGUUUGGAUCUCCCAACUCUCCAAGCAUAAUCCUGGGCCUCUAGUUUACAUUAGAGUUGAACUACACUGAGAUAGGAAGGACACAAAUUGUUAUUUCCAUUUUCGGAUGGGGAAACCAAGACUGACAAGUUAAAAUGAUUUGCCUGGCUUUACAAACCUAAUUGAACAUAAAUGGUCAGACUGGCAGCAGAUGAAAGUCGAGGUUUAAAUACAGAGUGUUUCGGUGGUCAUCAGAGACCCAUUUUCAGGGGAUGGAUAAAGGUGAAGGCUACAUGCUUAAUGUAUUGGGAGGAGCCAGUGAAGGACGUGGCAGCAACACGAGUGUAAUGUGAAGGAGCUGCAGGAGGCCCUCCUGGAGUCACGCGCUGUUAAUGGCCAAGGAAGUAGAAGUAAUUUUUGUCAUAGGUAGUUGAAUGUGAGCUUUUAAGAAUACUAACUCUGACAGCCUAGAGGAAAGACACUUAAAUUUCUCUUUGCCUCAGUUUCCUUAUUUUUCUUAGAAGUACAAAUAAUACCACCUACCUCACAUAGUUGUUUUAUCUGGAAGAAAUUAGAUAGUCUAGAUUAGGAUUUCUCAACAGUGGCAUCACGGACAUCUGGGGCUGGUAAGCGUUUGUCAGGGUGGGAGGCAGGCUGUCCCAGGCAGUGUAAGAUAUUAAGCAUCCUCCCAACCAGAUGUCACUACUACACCCCUACCCAGUCAUGACAGCCGGAAAUGUCUCCAGACAUUGCCAAAUGUCCCUCGCGAGGCCAAACGGUCCCCAGUUAAGAACCACAGAGCUAGGUAAAGGCUUUACUACAGUGAUAGGCAUACAGCAAGUACUUAAAACAUCUUAUUAUAAUUAUUCCCCUAUCUGCUGUUCCUUCCUUUGCAAUAUGACUUUUCUUUGACCUCUUCCAAAUAUCUCUAUGUCUUCCAUCCCAUCACUUGUAUUUAAAACCUCCUCUGAGGAAGGAACCUGACAAACACAUUUACAUUUGGGAGUGUUUUCAUUUUAAUCUGGAUACAACACCCUAAACCAAGGACACUUUCUUGAAAGGGUCAAGUUUAGGCACCAGAGACCUGAGUGAGGCAAAUAUUUUAGGAAAGUUAGUUUUCUAACUUCUCAGAAGACACUACAGAAGUGGUUGUAUAACCUGUCCACUUGUAAGAUGUGAAAAAAUGGUUCCCAAAGUGUGUCUAGAACAUUGGUUCUAAGUGGAUGGGAGUAAGUGUCCUCUUAAUGAGAGGGUUCUGUGAUUCAAUGAAUUUGAAAAAUUCUGGGUAGACCAAAAUUGAACAGAUCUCUUUACUUCUCAGGCCUUCUGAGUCUUUAAGCUGCUGCUACACAUUAUGGUAAUUCAUGAAAAGAUACGGUGUGUAGCCUUUCACAAACUCAUUUCUACAUGGCACAAUUUUGUAGGCCAGGAAUCAGCACACUACAGCCUUGGGCCAAAUCUUGUCUACCACCUAUUUUUAUAAAUAGAAUUUUUUUUACUGGAAUAUAGCCAUAGCACUAAUUUACAUAUUAUUUAUGACUGCUUUCAUAAUAAAUGGUAAUUUGAGUAGUGACAGAGAUGCAAAGCAUACAAAAGCCUAAAUUCUUCACUAUCUGGCUUUUUAAAGAAAAGGUUUGUCAACUCCUAUUACAGGAUGAAAUGGUCUGUGGAAUACACACUGGGAAACGUGAGUUUAGAGAACUUCAAUGUUGGAAGGGGUUGCAAUGGUCACCUGGCCCACCUGUAGCAGUGACCAGAUCCUUCAGUAUCACCUGGGGAGCUUGUUAGAAAUGCAGAUUCCUGAGAUCAUGUCUUGACCUGCUGAACCAGAAUGUGUCGGGGCAAGGCCCAGGAACUGGUGUUUAACCAAACUACCUACUAGUUCAUACACACAGCUAAACUGAAUGCCCCUGAUCUAAUCUGACUGCCAGCCCUGUAACUGAAAUCUUUCCUCAGGUAUCUCUGGCCUCUUUCAUAGCUCCAAUGAUGGGGAACUCAUUAUUUCCCAGUCUGUUCUACUGUUAGUCUGAAAUCAUUAUCAGAAAGUCCUACAUGUUGAACACAAAUAAUGUCCUCUAGGAAUUCUACCUAUUGGCUUCCUUUCCUUCCACUCCCACUUACUGUCACCUAUGGAGUGUAUUUAAGCAAGAAGACAAAGGGCUAAGUUACUGAGAAAAACCUACAUUUUUUCCUUCCCUAGGUCUAGUAUUCCUCAGGAGGCCCUGUCUGGCUGCUCCAGGCAGAAGUAAACACAUCCUGCUCUAUAUUCUCAAAGUGCCUUGACAGUUCCUCUGUUUGGGCAUUCUCUGCAUUUCUGUAAUUUAGUAUUGUAGUAAAAUGCACAGGCAUCUGACAAAAGUCAAAUAAACCUGAGGUCCUAUCUCAGCCAGUCACUUCCUGGUUGUAAACCCUUGGGCAACUUACUUUAGGCCUCCAUUUUCUUUUUAUAUAAGAUACGUAAAUAGCGCCUUCUUGGGGAUAGUGCUGAGGCUUCAGUAUCACAGGUGUGGGGCUUAGCUCAGAGCCCGAUCACAGUAAGUUCUUAAUCAGCAUCAGCAAAGAAGGGGGGAGGUUGCUAUGUCCUCCACGAGGUAUUGAAGUUCUCCAAGGAAAGGACCAGCUAUAACUUAUCUUCUUUUCAAUUCCCAGUGCCCAUCACAUAAUAAAUGCCACAAAGUAAAGAUUUACUGAAGGGAUGAAUAAUCCUGAAAGAGGGCAGAUAAAACAGCGCUCCAGAGCAGUAGGACUGGAGCUCAUCUGCCUAGUUUCAAAUCCCUUUACCACCUGCUGCUUCAUGUGUGGUCUUGAGGAAAGAGCUUGAUUUCUCUAAGUUUUAGUUUACUCCCAGGUAUAGUGAAGUCCCUCCUGUAGUGGCUGUGAAUAUUAAAUGAGAGAAUGCAGACAAAGCACUUAGCACAUAACAGAAGUUAACUAAGGGCUAUAAUAAUUAUUAUUAUUAUUACUAUGUUAUUAUUAAUAAUACCCCCUCAGUAUGCCCCAGUGGUAGCUGGGGUAAGAGGCUUGCCUGGAAAAGAUGUCUUUUCUCAUGGAGAAGUCUUAUCUCAUUUUUUUUCUAUUUCCUAGCCUUAGAUCCUUUGGGAAAUAUAUUGCCAGGGAGACAGCUCGAAAUUUGGGACUAUGCUAACACAGGCCCAUGCAAAUCCACCCUAGAAUUAUGUACAUAGUAAAUCCUGUGGCUAUGCUGAGCUGCACAGCUAACAUUUCCCUCAAUGCCAUAAACCACACACCCCUCAUCAACCCCAACUGCUUGUAUCAUGUUAGGUGCAGAUUUAAUUAAACUCCUAAACAAGGAAACAACAGUACUCAAAGGAGAUGGAGGAAUUUCUUGUGUCCAGACCAAAUAAAGAAGAAACCAUAAAUACCAAGGCUCUGAGACAUCAACAUUUCCACUCAGAAAGCUCUUCUUAGGGAUAAGCCUGCCUCUUUAAUCCCUCAGAGAUUUGUCCUUGAUUACCUCCCUCUGAAUGGAAGCUAACAGCCAAACAUGAGCACCUGGAACUUUUAUCACACCUGCUUCUAAAGAGUAAAUUAAAUGUUGAACGUCCUGCUCUCUCGUCUAGGAGCUGGACACUGUUCUAGCCUCUGGGAGCAAAAGACAGACACACACAAUUCUUGCCCUUAGGGAGCUCAUACUUCAGUGGGGAAAGAUAAGACACUGACCAAAUAAUCACAUCCAUACAUGUAAAAUUUCAAUGAAGAGGGUGAUGGAUUAAGAUUCAGAGUGCUUUGAGAUCAUAUAAUGGUUAUUUGUCUACAAGGAGAAUAGAGAAAUAUUCCAUUGGGAGCUAAUAAAAUCAAUGGAGAUCUGAUGAACAAGCUGGAGCUAUUUAGAGAAAGGACCAUGGAAUUGGGUUGGAGAGUGAUGCUGGGAGAAGAACAGUGCAAAGGCCCUGUGGCAGGAGGGUAGAAGAUAUGUCAAAGGAACUGAAAGGAGGCCUCGCUGACUACAAAAAUUAACUCAAAAGGGAUCAAAGAACCUAAACAUAAAACCUUAAUUUAUGAAACUCUUAGAAAAAAACACAGGGCAAAAGCUUCAUGGCACUGGAUUUAGCAAUGAUUUCUUGGGUAUGACACCAAUAACACAGGUAAUAACCAAACACAGACAAAUUGAAAUUCAUGAAAAUUAGAAAACUGUGUAUCAAAAGAUACUAUCAACAGAAUAAAAAGGCAACCCACAAAAUGGGAGGACAUAGUGGCAAAUCAUAUAUUUGAUAAGGAAUUAAUAUGCAGAGUACAGAGAGAACUUCUAAAAUUCAAGAACAAAAACCCAAUUCAAAAAUGGGCAAAGGACUUGAACAGACACUUCUCCAAAAAAAGAUGCAAAUGACCAAUAAGCAUAUGAAAAGACAGUAUCACUAAUCAUUGGGUAAAUGCAAAUCAAAACUGCAAUGAGAUACUACCUCACACCCAUUAGGAUGACCACUAUUAAAAAAUCAGAAAAUAAGAUGUUGGUGAGACUGUGGAGAAAUCGGACCCUUGUGCACUGUUAGUAGGAAUACAAAAUGGAAAACAGUAUGGCUGUACCUCAGAAAAUUAAGAAAAAGAAUUACCAUACGAUCCAGCAAUUCCACUUCUGGUUAUAUGCCCAAAGGAAUUCAAAGCAGGGCCUUGAAGAGCUAUAUGUACACCCAUGUUUAUAGUAGCAUUAUUCACAACAGUUAAAACAUGGAAGCAACCCAAGUGCCCACUGACAGAUGAAUGUAUGAACAAAUGAAUAUGACGGCUGAAUACUCUUCAGCCUUAAGAAGAACACACGCUACAACAUGGAUGAAAUUUUACAUUAUUCUAAGUAAAAUAAGGCAGCCACAAAAGGACAAAUACUGCAUGAGUCUACUAACUUGAGGUAUUUAGAAGAGUCAAAAUCACAGAAACAAGGAAAUAGAAUGGUGACUGCCAGGGGGUGGGGGAAGAGGAAGUGGGGUGUCACUGUUCAGUGAGUAUAGAGUUUCAGUUUUACAAGAUGGAAAGACUUUUGAGACGGAUGAUGGUGUUGGUAACACAACAUUAUAUAUGUAUUUAGUACCACUGAACUUUAUACUUAAAAAUGAUUAAAAUGGUAAAUUUUAUGUUGUCCAUGUUUUAACACAAUAAAAAAACACUGAGGAAAAAAAUUUGGUACAAACUCAAGGAUUCCCUGUAAAAAGCCACAAAAUAGAGCUUUACCCCCCCAUGCUCUAGUCAAAUGGAAUAUAUAAUUCCAUAAUAAAAAUUUCAGUUGGAAAAGUAACUAUUUGCAGUAGCAGAGAGGGUUUUACACAAGCAUCAGAGUCAGAAGAGAGUGGGUUCAAAUUCCAGCUCACUUACUUCCUGGCAAGUGACGAGCGAUACCUUCAUCCUGACCCUCAGUGUCCUCCUGAGGACAGUGGGAAUGAAUGAUUAACCCUGACCUGCAGGGUUAGAAAGAGAUGAGGUAAGGAUUAAUUGUCAGUCAUGUGUGUAAAUUGCCUGAUGAUGAGCCUAGUCUACAUCUCUGUUAGCUCUUAUCAUCAUCAGUGAAACACCUUCCAGAAAGUACAGACACAACAGAAAGAUAAAGGGUGAUUUCUCUGAAGAUAAGAAAGUUGUGCCAUGUCUCUAUUCCUAGCAGAGUAGAUGAUCAACAAGGGCUGGUGGAUUUAGAAUCAUAGGAGUAAAGCAAAUUCUCAGAAGCCAAAGGAAUGGGCAAAGUGUUUCAGCCUUUUUUUGGAUCAGAGCUGUCAGAAAGAAACAUAUUAUACACUAUGAGUCAGUAAUACACUCUGCUAUUUUUCAUUUUGUUGGAUUCUAUUUCAUUUAAAAAAAAUUAGGGGUCAUGACUCAACCAAAGUGAUUUCCUGAUCUUGAGUCCAUGACCCACAGUUUGUAAAACACCAGGUUACAGACUUCACAUGCAAGUCCUUCCAGGAAGCCUUCCUGGAACACCCUCACCCAGUGGAGGUUGUUCCCACACUUUAAUUUCUUUGGCCUUUAUGAUUCCAGGCUCUGCCUCACCAGGUAUUCAUAUGCUCUUCUCUUGCCUUCCUAGACACAUUCACUGUUGGUGCAUCUACUCUACCCUCCUACCCUACUGCUUCAUUACUUUAGUCCAACAUACAUCAUUUAAGAAGCUGGGACAGUUUAAUAUAUAUUUAUGGUGGUGGAGGUAGGGGCAGGUGGCUGGGGAAACUAGCAUGUAUUCCAAUUCACCUGCAUUGGCUGAGCACUGGCUCUGCGCCUUACACUAUGCAAAGCCUAGGAAGAGCGUGAGGCUUCUCCAGAGUUCCAAGUCCUUGAGGUUGGGCAUCAGUUCAGACAGUGGGAGCAGAGCACACAACCUUCAGUGUAAAGCCUCUGAGGGCUCCUGCAGAGUCUGGUAAGAUCAGACCUUUACCCUGUCCGAAAGACACUUCCUUAGCAAUAGAACAAGGCUCUAUCAUCUAAAGACAGAGGAAUGGCACAAAUCUCCUUGCCAGGCUCAACUUUGUGGAAAAAAAGAUUUCCACUGGAAGUUCUCCCUCAAGGAGAACUCCCUCCCUCGGUGAAAUGCACCGAGAAUUAGAUAGCAACUCUAUGCAGAUGCUUAAUCCAGCAGGCUAGAAAAGAAAUCGGUCUAUUUCCACUUCACUCUUUAGGCUUAGAAUGGACAUUCAGGACCGAAGCAGCUGAGAAACCAACCUGUUGGAGUGGAAAAUAGCGGGCUUGCCUGGAGGCAGACAGCACCACAUUCCCAUUUUGCCUCUACCUGCUGGCAAGCUGUUUGACUGUGAACAUGUUUCUUUACUUCUCCGAGCCUUUCUUUCCUCACCAUAAAAUGGACCAACAGUAAUGCCUACGGAAUGGGUUGUUGGAACAUUAAAUGAAAUAAUGCAUAUGAAGCCCCCAGUACAGUCCCAGGCAAAUCAUAAGUCUUUAAUAAAUGUGAACCAGAGUUAUUAUUUUUCAACACUCAAAACAGUAUAAUUGAGGGGAAAGAGGCAGUUACCUAAAACAGUUUUCUUCCAUCAAGGCAAAGGGCAUAGUUUCCUAGUGAGAAAAUGUGGGUAAAGUAGGUCGUGAAUUCUCCUCCUAGAACAGCAAAAGACUGUAUCGCAGGAGCCUUUGUGUUAUGCUAAUGUGUAAAUACUACUGAGCUGAGGAUCACUUAUUAGCACUGCAGAAACAGUCAUUUGCCUCCUGAGCCUGCAGCUUUGGAGAAGGAUGCCUCUGGGCUCAGAAGACUUCAGGCAGCAGCAGAGCUUCUAGGGAGCCAGUUCUGGUAGCUUGCUACUCUCUGGCGGCCUUAGGUGUCUGCGCCCUCCUCCCCUGGCUGUCCCACACAAGCUGCACGCCCUCCCUGCUCCUCUGGGAAGGCACACCUCUGGGCCACUGUCUGUUCCAACGCUGACCGCAUCCCAAGGCCUUCGUCCUCCACGGAGCUGUCCCUGAGAACUCUCGCUUGUAGCGAUCUUUCCUUUCUCUGAGAUCUCACAGUGAAAAUUUAACAUCUAUUGCAGGGCUAUCCAACAAAAAUACAAGGUGAGUCAGAUACAUAAUUCUUCUUCCUAAGAGCCACAUUAAAGAAAGAAAAGGAAAUAGGUGAACUUGAUUUUAAGAAUGUGUUUUGAAGUCUGGUAUGUAUUUUAUACUUCCAGCACAUUUCAAUUUGGACCAGCCCCAUUUCCUGUGCUCAGCAGCCACAUGUAGCUAGGGGAUUUUGGAGACUUAGAAAAACUAACUAACUAACUAACUAACUAAUUAAUUAAUUAUCAUUACUAUGUUUUUUCAUAUUGAUUACAUGUUGAAAUGGCAGUAUUUUGGAUACAUUGGACUAGAUAAAAUAUAUCAUUUUUCUUGGACACUCUCUGGCUCUCAGGGGCCCUUCCACCAGAAAGCAAAGACCUUAGCCCCCAAGCCCCAGCUCUUUUUCCUUGAACUUCCCACAGCAGGGUCUGCCUCCAGGGCUAACAGGCAAGUGGAUGGAGAGAAAAAAAAAUCUACAGUUAUUCCCUCAACUCUUUAAACCACAGUCUGAGUCAUAGUAUUCUCUGGUCAGAGAAAAGAUUUCCCUUCACACGGGGUUUUAGGAGCUUGCCUAAACUCUGCUGCUGUUUGCAUCAGCUAGGAGAGCAGGUUCCAGGACAGAAGUUUGCCUAUGGGCUGGGGUAGGAGAGGAAGAAAAAACACAGGGGAUGCGCCCACUCUCUCUGUCCUUUAGGGUCCCUAUCCACAUUCCUUGGACCAGAGCAGGGGCUUUUCUUGGGGCUUUUUCUGUGCCCUUGUGUGUUUGAGGAGACAUGUCAUCUUUGAACCCUGGCUAGAAGAAGUGGGAGUAAAAACCCCAGGAAACUCACAGUCUCAAGUUUACUUAGAGCUCAAGUUUCCUUUCCCAAUUCACCUGCUCCUGCUUACUUUUCAGAGUCCUCAGAUAGACGUUCUAUGUCUUUUAUCCUGGGUUUUGGUUGCACUCAGAGGCAGAAACAAGCUGGAGUGUGCUUACUCCAUCUUAAACAGGACCAGAAUCUUCAGGAAACAUUUCUUCCUUCCCGUGUGUUAUACUGCAUUCAACCUCUGUGACACUUGUCAUCCACAAAUGGCAUCAGGAGAAACUUCAGAGUGGAUUAAUUAGGAUUCCAUAUUCCUAGACCAUGCCAAGUAUCCAUUAGAUUCACAUACUUUGAAUGGAACAGAACUGGCUUUUUGCAUUGAGAACAGACACAGGGAUUUCAACACUUGUCCUUAAGUCUUGAAUGAACUAAGAAAAAUAGUUGACUUAUUUCUUUGUGAAAAGUUUAACGUCUACAUUAUUGACUGUCACAUAUGCAUUUAAUUAGGGAAUGUAUAUUGCCUCCAUGUUUUCAACCACAUUUUUGUAAACACCUGACUUGAUAAGGCAGCUAUGGGUUUUAUUUAUUUGGAAUCUCUGAUCUUCACUCAUAGGAGCCUUAUGUUUCCUUUUAUGGUAGACAAUAGAUUUUGAAAUAAGUAAUUAUGUGUUACUGCCGAGAAGUACAUCCAUUUAUACAGGCCAACUUAUUGCCAAAGUUAUUGUCCAUUUAACCAUAAAGGAAGUGAUCCACACCUCAAAAAAAUCAUUAGAGGGACACUCAUUACUUUGGACACAUUAUGUGCCCAAAUAAUUCACAUAGCUGAUAAUGCACUGUUAAGAUGAGCUAAAUUCCAGAAAAUGUGAAAUAAUUUGAUGGUUAAGAACAUUAGAAAAAAAAAAAAGAACAUUAGAAAAAAACAGUUAUUGGAAAUGAUAAUGUGGAUAUUUGCAUAGUAAUAUGUACUGCACAAAAUGUUUUUAUUCAAUUGAUUAUUCAUUCUUAUAGUCAUCAUUUAUGGUCUAUUAUGUGUCAUCAGUUUGCUACACCCUCAUAACUCAUAAUUUGUGAGUAACCUUAGGUGUGUUCUGCUUUCAACCAAACCUUAUACAUAAAAGUCUGAACUGACAGAACAGAUAUAGUGAGAGCUAUACAAAUAGAAGUUGUUGACUUUUCAAAAGAACAAUGAACUUCAAAAUGUUUCCAUUUACAAACAUUAAGGCUACACAUAUUUUGCGGGACUGUAGACUCUAAGUAUUAUAAGGGGCAAAAGGCAUGGGCUGUGGACUCAGAAAUGCUUAGCUUUAAAUCCUUGAAAUUAAAUUAACCCUCAGCGUUGUCAUCUGUAACUUUUGGAAGAUAACAGUACCUAUGUCAAAGGACGUGAGCUCAAGUGUGCCUGAUACAAUGCAGCUCAAGUUCACAGCACAGUCAAGCACACGGUGAGCUCCCACCAGCUAUAUAACUACUAGGUAAAAUAAAAUGAAUUACUUCUCAAGAGUUGAAAUAAUAUAAAUAUAAACACAUGAGUUUGUUCUAUUAUCUGUAAUGGUUCAGAAGAGUGAUUAUAUGUAUGAAUAAACUUGAUAGGGAAUAUGCCAGCCUCAAAUAUUUGAAUUUUCAUUUCACAAUUCCUAUCUCAAAUGAAAUAACUUUAAUACUCAUCUUAUUUUCUUGGACUAUUUUUAUCUUUAUCACUUAUUAAGAUUAAGCACCCCCACAAGGUGUGUUUUGAGGAUCUACAGAACCCAUGUGAGACAUAAUCUGGCUCUCUCAGAGUUUACCUGCAGAAAAAGACAAGAUGUACUUUAAAAGAUUAUCUUCAGGAAUGAGGAUUAUUUGUGUUGCUAAACUCUGUGCCAGCAAGAGAGCAGGUUCAUUCAUUCCUCUCUUCAUGUCUUGCUCACUGGGUGGUGGUUUUAAUGAAAUAAAAAUACUUAACCACCUUCUUGUGCUUUCAAGAGGGGCUGUUGAGCCUUUCACUAGAGUGAGCAGAAAGCAAAGCCGAGAUGUCAUCAUCAUACUGAGAGAGUCUGGGAAGUUCAUAACCACUGAAACAGUAAUAUCAUUCAUUAGGUACCAGCUGAGAGGUGGAUUUUCUGCUAGGUGUUUUCACAUUCAAUCCAUACAAUAAGGCUAUUUAUUACCUUCAUUUCACCUCUGUAAUCAAUGAGGCUUAGAAGUGCUUAGACGAGCCCCAGUUGAAACCCAGGAGUGUCUACAUUUUUAAUAUAUUAUUCCUUAGCUCAGCUCAAGCACACAUAAUAU